GAGGCAUUCCAAAGGAUCAGGACUUGCUUCAGUGGGGCUUUGGUGCUCACUGAGUCCUGUCCCAUUAGUGUGUCUCU
rnacentral:pre_miRNA from 1 species